UACGAGGGGGGCGAGCGUUGUUCGGAAUUAUUGGGCGUAAAGGGCGCGUAGGCGGUGCGGUAAGUCACCUGUGAAACCUCUAGGCUUAACCUAGAGCCUGCAGGCGAAACUGCCGUGCUGGAGUGUGGGAGAGGUGCGUGGAAUUCCCGGUGUAGCGGUGAAAUGCGUAGAUAUCUGCAGGAACACCCGUGGCGAAGGCGGCUGACUGGAUCGCAACUGACACUGAGGAACGAAAGCUAGGGGAGCAAACAGG
rnacentral:rRNA from 1 species